UACGUAGGGGGCAAGCGUUAUCCGGAAUUACUGGGUGUAAAGGGAGCGUAGACGGUAAUGUAAGUCUGGAGUGAAAGGCGGGGGCCCAACCCCCGGACUGCUCUGGAAACUGUUAAGCUGGAGUGCGGGAGGGGCAGGCGGAAUUCCUGGUGUAGCGGUGAAAUGCGUAGAUAUCAGGAGGAACACCGGCGGCGAAGGCGGCCUGCUGGACCGUGACUGACGUUGAGGCUCGAAAGCGUGGGGAGCAAACAGG
rnacentral:rRNA from 1 species